GAUGAACGCUGGCGGCGUGCCUAAUACAUGCAAGUCGAACGAACGGAUUGAGGAGCUUGCUCUUCAUGAAGUUAGCGGCGGACGGGUGAGUAACGCGUGAGAAACCUGCCUUUCACAACGGGAUAGCCUCGGGAAACUGGGAUUAAUACCGUAUGAUACUUCUACUUAGCAUUAAAGAAGAAGUCAAAGCGUAAAGCGGUGAAAGAUGGUCUCGCGUCCCAUUAGUUAGUUGGUGAGGUAACGGCUCACCGAGACUUCGAUGGGUAGCCGGCCUGAGAGGGUGAACGGCCACACUGGAACUGAGACACGGUCCAG
rnacentral:rRNA from 1 species